rnacentral:rRNA from 1 species
CACGUAGGGUGCGAGCGUUGUCCGGAAUUAUUGGGCGUAAAGAGCUCGUAGGCGGUUUGUUGCGUCGGCUGUGAAAUCCCGAGGCUCAACCUCGGGUCUGCAGUCGAUACGAGCAAACUAGAGUGUUGCAGGGGAGACUGGAAUUCCUGGUGUAGCGGUGAAAUGCGCAGAUAUCAGGAGGAACACCGGUGGCGAAGGCGGGUCUCUGGGCAACAACUGACGCUGAGGAGCGAAAGCGUGGGUAGCAAACAGG